ACGCUCGACACCUACGGGAGCAGCAGUGGGGAAUAUUGCACAAUGGGGGAAACCCUGAUGCAGCGACGCCGCGUGGAGGAAGAAGGUCUUCGGAUUGUAAACUCCUGUUGUUGGGGAAAAAGAGGAUGGUACCCAACAAGGAAGUGACGGCUAACUACGUGCCAGCAGCCGACGGUAAUCUGAGGCGGGCUGGCAAGGC
rnacentral:rRNA from 1 species